UACGAGGGGGGCGAGCGUUGUUCGGAAUUAUUGGGCGUAAAGGGUGCGUAGGCGGUUCCGCAAGUCCUGUGUGAAAUCUUCGGGCUCAACUCGAAGUCUGCACGGGAAACUGCGGGGCUUGAGUGUGGGAGAGGUGAGUGGAAUUCCCGGUGUAGCGGUGGAAUGCGUAGAUAUCGGGAGGAACACCAGAGGCGAAGGCGGCUACCUGGACAAUUGCUGACGCUCAGGCACGAAAGCGUGGGGAGCAAAAGGG
rnacentral:rRNA from 1 species